GGUGCCUCUAGAGUCAUUGCAGAUGUGGCUGCUGUGUCGCAUGUGCAGCAGUUGGUGGCAGAGAGGAGAGAGCCUAGGUCUACCUUAGUUAGUUAAUGACUAGUAGCCUAACACU
rnacentral:snoRNA from 1 species